UACGGAGGGUGCAAGCGUUAUCCGGAAUUACUGGGUUUAAAGGGUGCGUAGGCGGCUUGGUAAGUCAGGAGUGAAAGUUUGCGGCUCAACCGUAAAAUUGCUUUUGAUACUGCCAGGCUGGAAUCAGGAUGAGGUCAGCGGAAUGUGGCAUGUAGCGGUGAAAUGCAUAGAUAUGCCAUAGAACACCAAUUGCGAAGGCAGCUGGCUAGACCUGUAUUGACGCUGAGGCACGAAAGCGUGGGGAGCGAACAGG
rnacentral:rRNA from 1 species